AUCUUUUUGUAGUUCAUAAGCAUGAUGAUUAUGUUUUUACAUUCACACGUAAGAUGUGCCUCCCUCAAACCUUGUUAUGAUGUCAGCAUAUUACCUGUCUGAUG
rnacentral:snoRNA from 1 species